rnacentral:rRNA from 1 species
UACGUAGGGUGCAAGCGUUGUCCGGAAUUAUUGGGCGUAAAGAGCUCGUAGGCGGUUUGUCGCGUCUGCUGUGAAAACCGAAGGCUCAACCUCCGGCCUGCAGUGGGUACGGGCAGACUAGAGUGCGGUAGGGGAGAUUGGAAUUCCUGGUGUAGCGGUGAAAUGCGUAGAUAUCUGGAGGAACACCGGUGGCGAAGGCGGCAUCCUGGACCGGCAUUGACGCUGAGGCGCGAAAGCCAGGGGAGCAAACGGG